CACUCUACGGAGAGAGUCUGGGGGCCAGAAGAGCAAAUAGCAAGAUGCUCUUGUGACUGUCCUGGACACAGAAAAAACGCAGAGGGGACCAAUGGAUCCCCAGGCCAUUCCUGAGGCCAGAUUAGCAGACUGUGUUGACCCAGACUCCAAAGGAUCCAAGGCUGCCAAUAGGAGAUAUCUUUGGUUCGGAUGAGGCUGGAUUUACUCAAGUCAGCCAAUCAAUACAAAGAAAUCCAUCAAAUGAAAUAUAGUAGAGGGGUCACGAAGACAUGGCAACAUUCUUGAACGACUGAAGACAAGAAAGCAAUGUGGAUGACGAGAAGACCAACAAAGCUCAUCCCUGCCUCAAGACUCUCUGAUGGCCCACAUUCAUCUUCCAACCAGGGGUCACUUUUGAUUUCUGCCCUUCUCCUUCUAGCAAAGUGCAGGCCCCAAGGCUGGAGUCUUCAGAGCCCUUGUGUUCACCUGGCCUCCCAGAACAUCCAGGCUUGGCACCCAUCCCUUCCUCUUCUCCAGCCAAAUAAACCUGUCCUGGAUCCUGAA